UUCAUAUUUGAUAUUUUAUAUAAAAGUAUAUAUUAUUGGCAUAUGGUUAAGUUUAACUUUUUUUUGUUCAUUAAAAAAAGUUAAAUUUAAAAGUUGAAUAUAAAGAAGGUUUAAUAUGGACAUAUACAUAUAUACUUGUAUUCUCUAGUUAAUAUAUUUUAUUAUUUACUAUUAAUAUAAGAAAUUCUUGACAUAUGAGAAUAAAUCAUUGUCUCAUAUUAAAUUAAUAAAAAAUAUGGAUCACGUGAUAUUUGUUAUUUCGUUGUUUCAAAUUUUAAGGUAAUGUAUAUAAUAAAUGUACACAAAAUAUGUACAAUUAUAUAUAUAUAUAUAUAUAUAUAUAUAUAUAUAUAUAUAAUAUAUUUUAUAUAAAUAGAAAUAUUGUGCAUAAUGUAUUCAUAUAUUUCUUGAAAAAUAUUUAUACCUUCAUUUUUUUUUUAACAUUCAAUGGGAAAAUAUGAUAAUUGUAAAAAUAUACAGAUGAUGUUCUGUCAAACGAUAUAGUAGGCAUAUCACAUAUAAAUUAUCAUGUAUGUCAUAUAAAUUGUUAUGUAUGAAAUAUUAAAUAUAUUGUAUAUAAAUAUAUAGCCUUUAAAAUAUAUACAUUUUGUAACAUAUAAAUAAUACACAUAUUACAUAUAUAGAAUUUUAUUUAAAAAAAUAAUUUCCAUAUCUCAAUAUUUUUUUUUACACACAAAGUAAUAUGCACUUCAAAUGAGAUGUAUAAUAUGUAUAAUAACAUAUUUUAUUUAUGUACAUUUUUUUUAAUAUAUUUUAACAAAAUGUAAAAAUAAUAUAACUAACAAAAAAAAAAAAAAAAAAAAAAAAAAAAAAAAAAAUUGUAGUAUGGUAAUAAUAUACAUUAUUUCACAUAUUUAUGAUACUAUAAAUUAUUAUUUAUUUUUUUUUUUUUUUUUUGUGUUAUAUUGUAAAAUGGGAACUGCAUAUGCAUGUAAUUUUUAUGUAUAUAUAUAUAUAAUAUUUUUCUUUAUUUUUUAUAUGUGUAUUAUUUUAUAUCAUAUUAUAUUUUACCACGUUUACACGUAACGCAUGUUAAUUUUUUUUUGUCAGCGCAUCGGAUAUAUGAUAUCUAAAAAGAAGAAAUAAAAUAUGAAAAGUUUAAAAUAUAUAAAAAAAUAAAUAUCUUUUU